rnacentral:tRNA from 1 species
GCCGAGGUAGCUCAGUUGGUAGAGCAGGGGACUGAAAAUCCUCGUGUCGGCGGUUCAACUCCGCCCCUUGGCACCA